GUGAAGAGAGAGAGAGAGAGAGAGAGAGAGAGAGAGAGAGAGAGAUAGCAUGUGUGUACGGGAGAGUAGAGGCGGGCUCCAGACGGGGAAAAUGCUCGGAGUGUAACAACACACACCGCCAGACGCUGCUGGUCAGAACAAUGAGCCUCUCAGCUCCGGCCACUCUGCCCGUACCGUCCGCCUGCGUCUGAGCGCACACUCACACACACACAUACACACACUCACACACACACAUACACACUCACACACACACUCACGAGCUCACACGCCGGCGAGCUCGCAAACAAACACCCGCUGCUUAAUGAUGUGAGGUUGGUACUGACUGACGUGCCUUUGACAUCCGCUGCUGCUUGGACUGCUUGAAAGGGCAAAGCCCCGCCCCUUUUCCUCACAGCUUACGCCUGCCGCUUCUGUGCCAACCGAGACUAAAACGAGGACGUGGGCCUGGGCCACGCAACCCGCUCUACCUGGUCACAUAGCAACGCCCUUGGCUCCCUCCCUGCUCCUCUGGAGUGCUCCUCAUGCUGCUUCUCGCGCCCCUCCACAAGUCUGUCUCAUAAAGGAAAUUUGGCCGGCGGGACAAGACUAUCUCUCUCUCAGAGUGUGUGUGUGUGUGUGUGUGUGUGUGUGUGUGUGAGCGUGUGUGAGUGUGAGUGUGUGUGAGUGUGUGUAUGUGUGUGUGUGGGUGAGAGGCUGCUGCUAAAUUGCCUCUCUUCACUACUACCACCACCACUACCACUACCCCUCCCCUCACCCCCGCUGAAUGUGUCCCCUUAACCAUAAUCAAUAAUGAGUUUCACCAUCCGUCUGUUCGGGCGGUUCAGCUGAGGCGAAAGUGAGUGAGAGAGAAAUAGAGAGAGAGAGAGACACAGACAAGACGAGACAAGGAGGCCGAAAAUGGGUCUCUGAUACCAGGCAAAUUCCCAAGAGCGCCCCCUAAACCCCGAACAUCAACCGUCUCCUCUAUCGUUUUGCGGACUUCUUGAAAACCAUCCAAUCCACAACCGCAAACAAGUCAGCAAACAACAUAACAGACUCUCUUUCCAUCGCUGCCAUAUUGCCUGGAUUUCCUCCCCCUUUUUACUCUCAAGUGACUCAACCCAAAAAAAUGGCGGUGAAUGUGACGCCCAUCCGGGACACCAAAUGGCUGACUCUAGAGGUGUGCCGCGAGUUCCAGCGGGGCACCUGCUCCCGGCCCGACUCUGAAUGUAAAUUCGCCCAUCCCGCAAAGAGCUGUCAGGUGGAGAAUGGGAGGGUCAUCGCCUGCUUCGAUUCCCUCAAAGGCCGCUGCUCCAGAGAGAACUGUAAGUACCUGCAUCCUCCGCCACACUUGAAGACACAGCUGGAGAUCAAUGGCAGGAAUAACCUGAUCCAGCAGAAGAAUAUGGCCAUGCUCGCGCAGCAGAUGCAGCUGGCCAAUGCCAUGAUGCCUGGCACGCAACUGCAGCCUGUGCCCAUGUUCUCCGUCACGCCAAGCUUGGCUACUAAUGCCACGGCAGCGGCAGCAUUCAACCCGUAUCUGGGCCCCGUGUCUCCGGGACUGGUGCCCACCGAGAUCCUCCCCAGCGCCCCUGUACUAGUGACCAGCAGCCCCAACGUCCCGGUGCCAGCCGCAGCUGCUGCCGCUGCCCAGAAACUGAUGAGGACAGACCGACUGGAGGUGUGUCGGGAGUACCAGCGAGGCAACUGCACACGAGGCGAGAACGACUGCCGCUUCGCGCACCCGGCCGACAGCACCAUGAUCGACACCAAUGACAACACAGUAACCGUGUGCAUGGACUACAUCAAGGGCCGCUGCUCCCGCGAGAAGUGCAAGUACUUCCACCCGCCGGCGCAUCUGCAGGCCAAGAUCAAGGCCGCCCAGCACCAGGUCAACCAGGCGGCGGCCGCUGCCGCCAUGACUCAGUCGGCUGUCAAAUCACUGAAGCGACCCCUCGAGGCAACCUUUGACCUGGGAAUACCACCAGUUUUGCCUCCAUUACCAAAGAGACCUGCACUUGAAAAAACCAACGGUGCCACCGCCAUGUUCAACGCUGGCAUGUUCCAGUACCAACAGGCUCUCACCAACAUGCAGUUCCAUCAACAGGCAGCCUUCAUACCGUCAGGCUCAAUAUUGUGCAUGACACCUGCAGCGAGUGUUGUUCCCAUGAUGCACGGUGCUUCGCCAGCCACUGUGUCAGCAGCCACCACAUCUGCCACAAGUGUUCCCUUCGCAACAGCCACAGCCAAUCAGAUUCCAGUAAUAUCUGCAGAUCAUCUGACUAGUCACAAGUACGUGACUCAAAUGUAGGAACAUUUAAAACACUAUCCCAUGAUGCAUCACUUCAGAGACAAGCUUCAAAAUGGAGAUAAGAUCACAUGGAAGUGUGCUUGUGUGCCGUCCAAAUUGUGGAGCCACCCUUUAUACACCGACCAGAGCAAAAGAUAGAAGAUAAAGAUACCCUGUCACCAUUCCCCGGAAUGACGGAUAACCACGCAUGCUAACACUGUUACGGAGAUUUGAUAUAGUUCAGUCGGAGUCUUGAGAAAAAAAAAACUCUUUCUAAAAGUUCAUUUUGGUAAACUGGACGAGGAGAAAAAAAACAGACAAAAAAACAAAAACAACAAAAAAUCAACAACAACAAAAGAACAUCACUGUCUGCCUUUUUUUGUCUAUGGAUGGUUAAAGAAAAGCAUGCCAGAACCAUUUCAAUGAGCAGAAAAAGGUGUGAUGUGUGGUGGUGUCUUGUGUGAUGUUUUUUUAGUACAUCAAAUGAGGAAAUACUCUCUUUUUUCCUUUUUUUUUGGAUUAAUUUUAGGGCGAAUGGUUCGACUGGGGGGAAACCUCUAUUUUAUUUGAUUUUAUUUUAUUUUUCGUUUCUUUUAUGGUUUACAAACUACGGUGCACCUUGUAUAAAAAAAAAAUGUAAAAGGAAGCGAAAAAUCGAAAAACGAAUGUCAUUAUUAAGACUAGGUGUUGUGCAUGCAGUGUUCCAUUUGUAAGCCGAUAUUUUCUAGAACUUGAUUGUAAAACGAGGCGGCAGCGGAAGCAAGGGUGGGGUUUGGGGUGGGGGGGGUUUGUGGGGUGGGACAGAGGACACUCGCAAAACUGACAACAAUGAAUGUUCUAGUUUUAAGACACAGCAGUGUUCCUUUCAAAGCACAUUGAAGCUUUCAACCUUCAUGUUGCCGACUCCACAUCAAGUGCCAUAGACAGUACUUGCAUCCAAAAAGAUACGUUAGAGUUAUUAUUGUAGGAGUGUUACGUGUUUGUAUUAUUAAUGCCUUUAAGUCUCUAAUGUGAUGUCUUAUUCGAUUAUUUCUUUUCUUUCAUUAUUCUCUCAAUAUUCUGGUUCUCGUUUCAGUAUUUCGAGUUUGUCUUGGGUUUAGUAGUACUGAACGUUUGUUACUUGCCCUACCUCCUCCCCUCAAGAUCAACGGAAAUAAUAAUCGCCAAAAACUAAACAAAAUGGUGUCUAUACAAAAAAAGGGGGGAAAAUGCUCUUUUUUUGUUUUUGCUCCCUUAAGCUUUGAGGCACUCGCUCUGUUUUCUGUCCUAUUUCAGCAUUUCUUUUGUUUUCUCAAAAAAAAAAAUCCCAUACUAACGAGGCAGGGAGUUUGAUUUUUAAGGUGAAAUUAAGAAAGAAAGCAGAAAACUCACAGUAUUGUGUUGCAGAGAGGGCUAUAAAACACUUACACUGUUAUAAAUAACGCUUUACUGAAGAUGACUGUAGGGAUACACAACACUUACAUACGUAUUUGACAGUCAGAUGGAGAGAUAUUUGCUAAAUUUGUCCAGAAUUGGCUGCAACACAACCUUGUGCUUAACAGUUCAUAAGGUGAUCUUUGUUCAUGGAAGCGUUAGGUAGCCAUAACUUGUCAAAACUGACUAUAAUGACAUGAUUAUAUUAAGUAAUUGAAAACAGUUUCAUGUGACAAUUAGCAUUAGCACCAAUUACAGAUGUUAGAAUAUUUAUUCUCUAUUAUAGCAACAUAAGACUCAUAUGAAAUGGCAUCUGUCCUAUGAGAUGUAUCAGUGUUCCAGCCAAUGAGCACAAGUUUAUUGGUUACAUUAGACGAUCAGUUCAGUCGAGUUUGAUGCUUUUUAGAAUAAGCCUUUAUUUCUAUUUACUUAAAUGAACAGUAAUACGUAAUAAAUGUGAGACAAUGAGUGUGUAAAACGACUACAGAAGUCCAGUUCCUCACAUUUGACAGAGUUUUCUGCCUCACCUGCCCCUUCCCAGAGACAAAGCUCACGUGGGUUGCCAGAUUAACACACAGUUACCCUGUAGCUAAGCAGAGAAUAUAAACAUUUCAGUGUCCAAAAUAUAUGUCCCUACUACUCUAUUGGUGAUGAUAAAUUACCCAGUUAUGGUCAGCAAACGUACUGAAGAUCAGUGAUUACCUGUUCAGCAGAAAAAUAGCUGGCUCACCCAUUUCCAUGGCAGCAGCACACUGUUUGUUUGCUGCUGUCUACACCUGCCAACGGAAUGGCAUUGGGCAGAUUCGGAGGUGACGUACCGCACAGUUCAAAUAAGAAAAUACUGGCUGAAGCUCUGCUGACUACAGCUGCCACUGCUUAAACUUAAACAGCAUGUUUCCAUAAUAUCUGAUGAUAGAUCCAUAGUUUCUACAGAAAAAAGCCAAAGGGUUACUAUAAGAAUAAUAAUCACAAUUAAUUCUGCAAUAGAAAUAAUAACAAAAUAAAAAACUUACGGUUUAGGCUGGUAAAUUCAUCAAUACAUCAAUUGCUACGAACAGCGUAUGUAGCCUUGUAACCACGGUCCUUCAGUAAAGCGUUUCACCACUAUUCUACUGAGUUUCCAAAUUAGCAAAGACUUCAAUAUGGUGGGCAAUGUGUGUUUUUAGACAGUAGCAACUUGUCUAAUCUCUAAACCAUUUAAAUCCAUUCUGCUUAUUUUAAUUCAACAUUUUUAUUGUUCUUAUUGAGCUGUUGUUUUGCUGUUUCUAGAUUAGGAUUAGAGCUGAAUGAAAAAAAGAAGGUGGAGGGAAAAAGACGGAAAGGAUUAGAUGAGAUGUUGUUGUUUUUCUUUUGUUUUGUAAAGAAAACCCAGUGUUUAUUUUAUUUUUCAAGCUUUUUUAUUUCAUAUUUUUUUUUCCGAUCAGGGCUGUGGGUGUUUUUUUUUUUCCUGCGCUGCCCCGCGUGGGUGGACGAUGAGGGCUGAGGUCACUGCAGCCUCGCGGAAAGAGCCGGAUAAACAGCGCGCUAUCGGACGGACCCGAUCCACUCUGCGGCGCGCUCCGAGUCCGUGGGCGUUCCGCGGGGCGGCUGAUGAGCGCUGUUCUGUAGUAGAGCACAUCUGACAAGGGCAUGAUUUAAUGAUUGUGUUGUUUAACAGCAAACCGCCUUAGUCCACACGAACUCUCAGCGCCAUUCAGACAUGUUUGUUUUUUUGCUUUUAACGGCUGUUAACGUUUUAUUUUAUUUUUUUUCCUACCAGUGUUCAAUCCCCUAGUCGUUUGUUGAUUGUUUUUGAUUACACCAUUUUAUUUGUUUAUUUCAUAUUUUUUGUAUAGGAAUGGUUUUGUCACAUAACUAAGCUUGGAUACUGUUUUAGUAUUUCGUUUCGUUUGUCGAGUCGAAGAUCGAAGUCGAAGUCGAAGAUUUAAAGAUAACUUUUGUAGUAUACUAUAGAAAUAACGUGUUUUUUUUGUUCGUUUUCCUUUUUUUUCUUUUGUGUUCUUCAUACCAUACUCAGUUUUAAAAUGUGUGUAUGUAGUGCUGAUUUGAUUAUUAGUAGUACAAAUGUAAAACUAAAUGAUUUUUAUUUUUUAGUGAAAUGUAAGAAUUUUGUUUAUUGUUAUUAUUAUUAUUAUUAUUAUUACUUUUUUUGGUUCUUUAUUUGAAUUCUUCAAAUGAACAUCUUUUAUAUGAAUAUCUUACAACAACGAGGAAAUAUAUAGUUGCCAAGAGACGAAACUUGAGUUGCUGCUACCGUGGCAUCAACUAUCAACUACAUCUAAUAUUGGAAUAAUAUUUUAACGAUCUUCUGGUUUGUAAUUAGUCAUUUGAAUUAGAAAAAAAAAAACAGAGAGAGAGAGUAUAGUUCUUAGAUGUUAACGUUGUUUUCUACUGUAUUCAUUUAAAAUAGUAACUAUUGUUUGAAUAUUUCCAAUCUCCCUGGAAGUCAGGCCUUGUUAAAGGAAAAAAAGAAAGAAAAAGAACUGCAUAUAUAUAAAUAUAUAUAAAUAUAAAUAUAUAUAUAUAUAUAUAUAUAUAUAUAUAUAUAUAUAUAUAUAUAUAUAUAUAUAUAUAUAUGAUCACUCAAUAGGGGGCAGUGUGAUGGGAUGGAGUGUUGGAGGAGAUCAGGUCAGGUGUUUGGGCCACGCUAGACGAUAAAAAAAAUAAUUAAAAAAUCCCACAAAAACACGUAUAGCGGUGCGCCACACCGCGAGGGCGUAAAGAGGAAGAAGGUUGACUUUUUUUGCACUUCUGUACAUAGUCAAAAAAGAAAGAAUCGUGUAUAAUAUUGAGAUCUUAUUUUGAAUAAAAAUGUCUAUAAAUAUGAGGAAUUUUGUUAACGAUAUUAAAGAAAAAAAGGUCAGGCUGAACAAAACUGCUUGCGAGAAACGUGAUGGAGAUUCUGAGAUUCUCUCAGAAAAACCAACAAAAAAUGACAAUAAAAAAAAACGUCGCUUUGCUUUUUUUGUCAGCGGCUCGUAGCUUGCCAGGAAAAUCUUUUGGGCGGAGGCAAACCUUGCACCUCCAGAGAGGAAAGGUCCUAAGGGAAACACAAGGCCGAGUCCGGCACCUUUCACACAGGCGCCGCCCCCCCCCCCCCCCCCGGCCUCCCCCUUUCCCAACAGGUCCAACAACAACGAUAACACACGUCUUGUUUCUUUCCUUCAUCCGCUGAGGAUUGCAUGUUAAAGGAAAAACAAAAACAACAUAUACCACGAGAAAACUUCACAGAGUAAUACAGAAUAAAACAUGUUAUACAGCGAAACUUAUUUACAGUAUACAUUGUAAUAUUAAUGUAACGGAUUUUAAAAAAGUGCAAAAAAAACAAAAAGUUGUUUUAUUAAAGAGAAGAAAAAUAGGUAAAAGAGAGUACACUUGUAGAGGUUGGAGCUCUCACGAAGCUCUCGCAAAGCUCUUGCAGAACAUCAGCCAGUGCACUCUCAAAACUCUCGUAGAGCUUUGGUCGAACUUUCGCAAACUUUCGCUCAUUGAAUGUACUGUGUUUGAUAAGGAAAAAAUAACAAACUAGUGAAAACCACACUACACUCACCCAGACAGAAGCUCUUACAGGGUUCUUACAGAACACUGAGAGACUGAGCUCUCGCAGAACUCUGAGCGAGCUCUCGCAAAGCUCUCACUGAGCAUUUGCUGAGCUCUCACAGAGCUGUAGUCGAGCUCUUGUGGAGCUUUUACAGAGGUCUUGCAGAGUUUUCACUGAGCUCGGAGAGAGCUCUGCGAAAGCUCGCUCUUCUGUUGAGCUCUUGGUGAGCUUUUGCCGAGCUCUCUCCGAGCUUUCACUGAGCUUUCACCAAGCUCUUACAGGCUCUUCGGGAGCUUUCACCGAGCUCUCACUGAGCUUUUGUUGAGCUCUCACUGAGCUUUCGUCAAACUCUCACUAAGUUUUUGCCAAGCUCUCACUAAACUUUCGUCGAGCUCCCGCAGAGUUUUUGUUGAGGUCUUGCGGAGCUUUCGUUGUGCUCCUGGCUCGCGUCAACUUUCGAACAACCGGCAACAACUUCUACAAGUGUACGUCAUAGCUAUAAGUAAGUUUUCUUUUCUUUUCAUACGUUGUAUUUUACGUAGAUGAUGGAUCAACAAACCAAAUUCUUUGGCGCUCAGAAAACACGGAUACCUGUGGUAUUAAGUUUCGGGCAAGGUUUUUUUAAUUUGCAGUCGCGCUGAGUCGCCAAACGGAUUAUGUGUUACCAAAGUUAAUUGUGCUUACGCAUUUCCUGCUCGUCUUUUGCGACUCGACUGCUGGGCCUUCGCCGAACGGCCACAAGGGGAAGUCCUCUGUUUAUUUUUCUUUUCUUCAUGGGCUACAAGUGCACAUUUGAGUUUAUAACACAUUGUAAUCUCCAACUUAUGGUUUGUUUCUGCUUGUAGUGAUAAAUAAUGUAUUCUGUCCUACGCUGCAGUUCUUUUCUGCUAAUUUCAUUAUUUAGUGCUUUCUGAGAAUAAAAAAAACACAAUUGAAGGUUUUUGUAAUUUAGCCUCACAUCUGAUCCGCUCACAUUAAUGGCCUGCGGUCGGACUACUGACGCUACAGUCUUAAGCCAUAAACAGUUUCUCUUUUCAAUGGAUUCACAAGCAUCUAACCUUAACAUAGGAAGGUACGGAUGGCACCAUUAGAGCAACAAGGAGCGGUCUCCUGCCAAUCCAGUUAACACAUAGGUCAAUCUCUCAAAACUGAGGCCGCAGGACAUUAUGGGAUCACAACGCUACAUUACAAAGACCUGAAAGUGGCUUUUAAUGCUUGAUUUCAUUCUUGCUGUUAUGGAAAAAAAAAAUCUAAUGAAAAUAUAUAAAUGAACUUAAAUAAAAGUGGAUUUGCAAACAAA